UACGUAGGGGGCAAGCGUUGUCCGGAUUUAUUGGGCGUAAAGAGCGUGUAGGCGCCACACAGGUCUGCUGUGAAAACUCGAGGCUCAACCUCGAGCUGUCGGUGGAAACCGUGUGGCUAGAGUCCGGAAGAGGAGAGUGGAAUUCCCGGUGUAGCGGUGAAAUGCGCAGAUAUCGGGAAGAACACCCGUGGCGAAGGCGGGUCUCUGGGCAGUAACUGACGCUGAGGAGCGAAAGCGUGGGGAGCGAACAGG
rnacentral:rRNA from 1 species